rnacentral:tRNA from 1 species
GUUGGUAUCUCAGUGGUAGAGUGUAUGCUGUGUAUGUAUGAUGUCCUGGGUUCAAUCCCCAGCUUCU